rnacentral:rRNA from 1 species
GCAGCUACACAGCGAUGUGAUGCUAAUCUCCAAACCAUGUCUCAGUUCGGAUCGGAGUCUGCAACUCGACUCCGUGAAGCUGGAUUCGCUAGUAAUCGCGCAUCAGCCAUGGCGCGGUGAAUACGUUCCCGGGCCUUGUACACACCGCCCGUCAAGCCAUGGGAGCCGGGGGUACCUGAAGUCCGUAACCGCGAGGAUCGGCCUAGGGUAAAACUGGUGACUGGGGCUAAGUCGUAACAAGGUAGC